UACGGAGGGGGCUAGCGUUGUUCGGAAUUACUGGGCGUAAAGCGCACGUAGGCGGGUCGUUAAGUCGGGGGUGAAAUCCUGGGGCUCAACCUCAGAACUGCCCUCGAUACUGGCGACCUUGAGUACGGGAGAGGUGAGUGGAAUUCCCAGUGUAGAGGUGAAAUUCGUAGAUAUUGGGAAGAACACCAGUGGCGAAGGCGGCUCACUGGCCCGUAACUGACGCUGAGGUGCGAAAGCGUGGGGAGCAAACAGG
rnacentral:rRNA from 1 species